rnacentral:misc_RNA from 1 species
GAUGAAGAACGUAGCGAAAUGCGAUAAGUAGUGUGAAUUGCAGAAUUCAGUGAAUCAUCGUAUCUUUGAACGCACAUUGCGCCCCUUGGUAUCCCGAGGGGCAUGCCUGUUCGAGCGUCAUUUCACCACUCAAGCCUGGCUUGGUGUUGGGCGACGUCCUCUUUGGGGACGCGCCUCGAAACGCUCGGCGGCGUGGCACCGGCUUUAAGCGUAGCAGAAUCUUUCGCUUUGGAAGUCGGGGCCCCGUCUGCCGGAAGACCUGCUCGCAAGGUUGACCUCGGAUCAGGCAGGGAUACCCGCUGAACUUAAGCAUAUCAAUAAGCGGAGGA